rnacentral:misc_RNA from 1 species
UCCGAGUUGACCCCGGCAGUCUCCCAUGAGUCCCCGGCAUAACCCGCUGGCAACAUAGGACAGGGGUUGCGCUCGUUGCGCCACUUAAGGCAACACCUCACGGCACGAGCUGACGACAGCCAUGCACCACCUGUGCAGGCUCCGAAGAGCGCCCGCUUUCACGGGUUUCACCCUGCAUGUCAAGCCCAGGUAAGGUUCUUCGCGUUGCAUCGAAUUAAGCAACAUGCUCCGCCGCUUGUGCGGGGCCCCGUCAAUUCCUUUGAGUUUUAGCCUUGCGGCCGUACUCCCCAGGCGGGGAUGACGUUAGUGACCUUUGC